AUGACAUCCUACCGUCACUCAUACACAGCACAGUAUGCACCCGGGCCAGAAGAGAGAAAGCAGUAUGUGUCAUCAGCAGUGUCUGUACAGACCUCCCGCUCAUCUAGCCCGACGAGUCAGCCUGUAUGGGAACACACCGUGGAUGAAUGGACCGCCUCCCCGAAUGAUCUGCAGGAUAUGCAGCAGCAUGCUUCCAGUAGGGAUGGCCUGAACCAUCAGCCUCCUUCUCCUUUCCAUCGACCAUGGGAAACGUCUGCGGUUUCGGGUUCGCAGUAUGGUACGAAUGGCAGACCUCAGCCUUACGCCCAACCACGUGAACCAGGCAGAGGUGAUUACCUGUCACAGCAAUGGGACCAAAGACCACCCACAAGACAGGUACCCCCUCUUUCUUCCUCCCAACGUAUGCAGCCCAUCAGUGUCCCCACAGUUAGUUCCCGUACAUUUGAAAUAGAUGCACGAACGAGUCCAUGGUCGCAGUAUGACAAUAGGCAGGACAUCCAUGCUCAACAAGAAUACAAAAGGCCAUACUUUCGCCCACCGACAGCUCAGAGUAUUCCACCCAAGGAUACUACAAUGAUUGAUACAUUGGAUAGGAUGAUGGGUGAACUACAGCUGUUAAAGGAGCAGACACUGACAGCUAGUCGGCCUACCCCGCCAUUCCCCAACAGUGCAACUUCCUUUCAGUUUGAACACCCACCUAUCAUGCAGCAACAUUUGAAGCCUCCUUGGCAGGAGCAGUGUUCAACUAGGGCCUAUCCCAGUUUCCAGAGUCAAGCCCCCACCAAGAUCUGGAGCCAGCAGCCCGCCGCCGAGGUACCAAGACCUAUCACAACAUCCUUGCAAUAUAAACCUCAUCCAUCCCCAGCCUACCAGCCACCACAGGUAAUGGCACAAGAGAGAACAUACAGGGGUCCAACUCCAAGUAUUCCUGAUCUCAUUAGAAGGGACCCAAGCGAGUUUGCCCGGUUAAAGAUCGCACUUGAUAAUCUGCUGCCACCAGAUGGGACAGAGCUUUUCAAGUUUCAGAUACUGAUGGAUCAUUUGAAACUGGAUGAAGCCCGUCUCAUAGCUGAUGCAUAUCUCAAUUCUCCAUCCCCCUAUACUGACACUAUGGCAGCCCUAUCAGAGAAGUUUGGUCAGCCCCACCAGUUAGCCCUCAGGAAGAUUGCCAGUGUUAUGGAUGCACCGGACAUUCGUCGCAGAGAUGUGGAGGCUUUUGAAAGAUUCGCACUGCAGAUUCGGGCUCUCGUUGGCAUGCUGAAGACCCUUGGUCCGGAUGGCGAAGUGGAACUGAAAUGUGGCUCUCACGUGGCACGGUUCCUCAGUAAGCUGCCAGCUGAAAUGAGGUCUGAGUUUCGGAGGCACAUGUGUCGCCACCCAGGGGUAGUAUACAACCUAACAGACUUGUCGGAUUGGUUGCAGCUGGAAACAUGGUGCCAAGAUAGCAGUACCCAGCUUGGGGCUAUAGGGCAGAAGGAGAGGUCCACCCAGAGACCAGAGCGCCUGAGAGAGGCGAAGUCAGUAAGGCGCAUGGCCACCAUCCUGCAUGGCACCGAGAAUCUGCCGACGGAGCAGCCUGUCGAGUUGGUGGGCAGCAAACCAGUUGCCCAUAGCAAGAAGAAAGGCCCGCUGAAAGCUUUCUGCCCCUACUGUGAUACGGAGGACCAUUAUCUCAGUCAGUGCCCCAUAUUCCAGUCUUUUGAUAAGGCUCAAAUCAUAGACUGGAUCAAAACAAACCAGCGUUGUUGGCGAUGCGGCAGAUCGCAUCAAGCAGUACAGUGCAAUCUGAAGAAAGCUUGCAGCCUAUGUCAAGGCAAGCACCUUCAGAUCCUGCAUGAGGUCAACGUCAAGAGUGUGAAGGAGGGUACUUGCCUGGUGAGCUCUGCAACUGAAAUACUCCACCUGGAUAAACCUUCAGAUUCUACCCGUGUUCUGCUUAAAGUGAUCAGAGUUCUCCUGAGGAAUGGUGACAAAACUCUGGACACUUAUGCCAUCCUGGAUGAUGGCUCUGACCGCACCAUGCUGCUCUCCUCUGCAGCUCAGCAACUGGGCCUAACAGGCACACCUGAAGACCUCGCCUUGAGAACUAUCCGUCAGGAUAUCCAAACGUUGCAUGGGGCCUGCGUUUCAUUCACAUUGUCCCCUAUCCUGCAGCCCCAGAAAUCCUUCCACAUAGCUAAUGCCUUCACUGCCCAGCGGCUUGGCUUAGCUGAGCAUUCAUAUCCGGUUACCAUGCUCAAGAGAAGGUACAGACAUCUGAAGGACUUGCCCCUACAAACCUUCAGCAGAGUUUCGCCCCUGUUGCUAAUUGGGGCUGAUCACCCACAUCUCAUAAACCCUAUAGAGCCUGUGCGCUUUGGAUCACCAGAAGGGCCAGCUGUGAUCCGAACCCGACUGGGAUGGACUCUACAAGGGCCUGCAAAGUCGCUUGAGCCACAGUUAGAGUCUCAACAGUGUCUGUAUACCUCCUGCAGCCCCCUAUCUGUUGAACUCCAGAGGAAUGUGGAGAAGCUAUGGCAAGUGGAUGUUCUACCCUAUAAAAGUGAAAAGGAGGUGACAAGGUCGAGGGAGGAUCAUGAAGCCCUGCAGAUGCUGGAGGCCAGAACAAGGCGCGUGGAUGUUAAGGGAGUGCUCCGGUAUGCCACACCCUUAUUGAGGAGGAAGGAUGCACCACCUUUUCAGGCCACCCAAGAAGCGACACUGCCCAGCCUGAGGAGUAUGGAGAGACGUCUGAGCAAAGACCCAGUUAGGGCUGCUGCGUAUAUGGCCGAGAUGGGGAGGUUGGUGACCUCUGGGUUUGUAGUCAAACUGCAACCGGAGGUUGCCUCUCAAAGCCAGGAGAGUUGGUACAUACCUCAUCACAUGGUCCAGCACAAUGGCAAGAAUAGAGUGGUCUUUAAUUGCUCUUUUCGACACAAGGGACUUAACCUGAACGAGUCCCUAUUGCCUGGCCCUGUCCUGAGCCCUUCUCUAGUUGGAGUGCUCCUGCGCUUCAGAGAACACAGCAUAGCCAUCAGUGGUGAUAUAAAAGGGAUGUUUCACCAGGUGUGCCUACUCCCAGAAGACAAACCGCUCCUGAGGUUUCUUUGGCGCAAUAUGAACCGGGAUGAGCCCCCUCACAUCUAUGAGUGGCAAGUCCUUCCCUUUGGGAUGACAUGUAGUCCCUGCUGUGCCUCCUUUGCUCUCCAUCGGCAUGUCCUCCUGCAUAGUGAACCAGGAGAGGAUGUGAGGUUCUCCCUCGAACGGUGCUUUUAUGUGGACAACUGUCUGCAAAGCGUUUCAUCGAUUGAAGGAGCCCAGCAGUUGGUCAACAAACUACGGCAGCUUCUGGCAUCCGGGGGCUUUGAAAUUCGGCAGUGGGCUAGUAAUAGGCCCGAAGUGAUUAGUCAUCUGCCAUCUGAGGCACGGUCAGAGAAACUGGAACUCUGGCUGUCACAGGACCGACAAGAAGCACAUGAAUCAACACUGGGACUGAACUGGAACUGUGAGACAGACACCCUCAGCCUCAAGCACCGACCCAUUGACUAUGGAGAGCCCACUAUGAGGAACAUAUAUCGAACCCUGGCUAGUCAGUACGACCCACUUGGGUUCAUUAUACCCUUCACCACCAGGGCCAAGAUUAUUGUACAGCAACUCUGGGACAAGCAUCGCGAUUGGGAUGACCCCCAGUUACCUCAUGAUUUGCUGCACCAGUGGAAGACAUGGAAGGGGGAGUUGGUGCAUUUAUCAGAGUUGACAUUGCCACGAUGUUACACACUGCCGCACAGGGAUCAGUCUGACAUUGCGAGAGAAGUACAUAUCUUCUGCGAUGCCUCAGAGCGAGCCUAUGGUUCUGUGGCGUACCUGAGAUCAGAAGAUCAAGACAGUAAUGUGCAGCUGUCAUUCCUCAUGGCCAGAUCACGGGUUGCUCCGAGGAAGCAGAUUUCUAUUCCCAGACUUGAACUCUGCGCGGCACUCACUGGAGCCCAGCUUGCGAAGCUACUUCAGACAGAGCUGACUGUACAGGUGACCUCAUGUACGCUGUGGUCUGAUUCAACCACUGUCCUCAACUGGUUGCAUUCCGCAUCCUGCCAUUUCAAGGUGUUUGUUGGCACCAGAAUUACAGAAAUUCAGGAGCUUACUAACCCCAAAGACUGGCGAUAUGUGGAUUCUACAAGGAACCCAGCUGAUGACAUCACAAGGGGCAAAAGUCUCACUGAACUGGUCAGCCCAAAUAGGUGGACCCAGGGACCAGAGUUUCUCCUCCUACCUCCAGACCAGUGGCCCUCCUGCCCAUCGUUGAGUACAUCAGACCCAGAGGAUGGCACUGAGCUAAAACGCUCUGCCAUAUGUCAUAUGGCUAACACGACUCCGGGCAAUCAAACCCCAGAGGCCCAGCGGUUCAGCACAUGGGCAGAAUUAGUAGAGGCCACAGCAAAGGAGAUUCAAAAUGCGGCAAUUCAGGGUGACCCAGCUGGGAGUAACUCACCUACUGCGGGGGCCUACACCGAGGCAGAGCAACGGGUUUUGAGACAGAUUCAGAUGGACUGUUUCCCAGAGGACUACCACCUGCUACAGGCAGGCAAACCUAUACCGGUUAACAGUCGGCUUCUAUGCCUAGCACCGCAGUAUGAUGCCAAUCAUAAACUGAUCCGGGUUGGUGGCAGGCUGCGGCGAGCAGAGAACCUUGAUCUGUCUGUGGUACACCCUGUGGUCCUGGAUCCCACCCAUGUGCAUACCAAACUACUUAUUCAAGAUGUGGAUGCACGUCUCGGGCAUCCUGGCCCAGAGAGUAUUCGCUGA
ensembl:lncRNA